AAAACCCAGUAUGUCAUUAAUGAUCUGUCCUCAACUUUCCUCUUUUCAAUAUUUCCUUUUGACUUGUCGGAUCUAAAAGCCCGAGAGUAUUGUGACCAAAUCAAAGAAAUGGGACCUCUCAAGUCCCAGUUCACCAUUUCAAACUCUUAUUUGAUGAAUUUGGUUCUAUUGGUCGUUCCAUCUCCAUUUGCUGUUGAGCAUAUCUAAGAACACAACCCACCAGGUAAAUCAUUUCUCUCUUUUUUAGACUCAUCGUGGCUAGGUUAUGGUCUAACUAAUUAGCUUACCUGGAAGCAAAAUGGAAAACUAAUGACCGAAAACUUUCAUUUUCCUUUUGAAUGUUUCUAAUGCAAGCGCUAAUUUAUGAUUUAUCCACUAAUCUUGUUUUGCAUUUGUUAAUGAUGGAUCUGGAAUCCCCUUCCACUAUUACAUCUAUUAAACCCAACUCGAUCCCUGUGAGCACGGCUUCGAAAUAGGCAAGGGCUUCUGCAUCAAAGGUCGUGCCAACCGCCGUGUGCAAACAAGACUUAGAGACCAGAACUUCUCCUUUCGCGUUUCGUACCACAAUCCUCGAAGCCGACUUAAAACCCUGGCAGUCGAACGAGGCAUCAAAGUUGAUUUUAAUAAUCUGUCCUCCAGAUUCCUAUUUUUGUCUAACCAAAUCGACCACAAGCCACAACCAAAAAAGCGCUGUUAGGACUUCGUGCAACUUCCAAAUACCUAGGACAUUGGCCAAAGACAUGCCAUAAAGUCUCAAUUCCCACGUUACACCUGGGGUUGUUUUGAGUCAAUAUUUUGGCAUAUAAGUUAAACAUUGUGGGGAUGAAACACUCUCUAUAUCAUUAUCUUAAUUUUAUUGGGCAGUUGUAAAUCCCACAAUUGUUUGUAGAAUUAUUUUGUUGUAAUCUGUAAAUCAUUAAAAUUAGAGGUAAUGCUCUGAGUCUAUAAUAGUUUAUAGGUGCUUUUUGUCAAGAACAUACCCGAGGGCUCACCGCACCAUAUUACCAUUCAACAUGCUCAUCCCUCGCAAGUGGAAUCUGCAGGAUUCUGUCCGCAUCAUUCGUCUUAAAAGAGAUGCAAUUGGUCAAAAACAAGCAAAAAGAAACCAAAUUGAAAGACAAAUUAUUGAGUUAGGGCCAAAUCAUAAAUAUGGGAAGGCCAAGGAUUUAACAUCAAUUUUGAGUUUGUAAAAAUCUAAAAAUAGAAGAUAUUAUUUUAUUUAGUUUUAUUAUUUAUUUAUUUUUAUUUUUAUUUUAUUAACUUAGAAUAGGCUAUUUUUAGUAACCCUAUGUAUAUAAAUAGGGGUUUUUAGUUUCCUAAAAAAAUCAUCCUUUAAUUUGUAUUCCUUCUUCUACUUGGAAUAGAAUUACUCUCUCUCUUGUAUUUCCUUUUUCAAUUUGGAGUUGGAAUAUGAUUUCUUUUCUCUUCAAUUUGACGUUGCAUUUUGUAGCUUUGUCUCCAAUUUUUA